rnacentral:rRNA from 1 species
GAUGAACGCUGGCGGCGUGCCUAAUACAUGCAAGUCGAGCGAACGGACGAGAAGCUUGCUUCUCUGAUGUUAGCGGCGGACGGGUGAGUAACACGUGGAUAACCUACCUAUAAGACUGGGAUAACUUCGGGAAACCGUAGCUAAUACCGGAUAAUAUUUUGAACCGCAUGGUUCAAAAGUGAAAGACGGUCUUGCUGUCACUUAUAGAUGGAUCCGCGCUGCAUUAGCUAGUUGGUAAGGUAACGGCUUACCAAGGCAACGAUGCAUAGCCGACCUGAGAGGGUGAUCGGCCACACUGGAACUGAGACACGGUCCAGACUCCUACGGGAGGCAGCAGUAGGGAAUCUUCCGCAAAGGGCGAAAGCCUGACGGAGCAACGCCGCGUGAGUGAUGAAGGUCUUCGGAUCGUAAAACUCUGUUACUAGGGAAGAACAUAUGUGUAAGUAACUGUGCACAUCUUGACGGUACCUAAUCAGAAAGCCACGGCUAACUACGUG